rnacentral:rRNA from 1 species
GACGAACGCUGGCGGCGUGCCUAAUACAUGCAAGUAGAACGCACAGUUUAUACCGUAGCUUGCUACACCAUAGACUGUGAGUUGCGAACGGGUGAGUAACGCGUAGGUAACCUGCCUGGUAGCGGGGGAUAACUAUUGGAAACGAUAGCUAAUACCGCAUAAUAUUAAUUAUUGCAUGAUAAUUAAUUGAAAGGUGCAAUUGCACCACUACCAGAUGGACCUGCGUUGUAUUAGCUAGUAGGUGAGGUAACGGCUCACCUAGGCGACGAUACAUAGCCGACCUGAGAGGGUGAUCGGCCACACCUGGACUGAGACACGGCCCAGACUCCUACGGGAGGCAGCAGUAGGGAAUCUUCGGCAAUGGACGAAAGUCUGACCGAGCAACGCCGCGUGAGUGAAGAAGGUUGUCGGAUCGUAAAGCUCUGUUGUAAGAGAAGAACGGGUGUGAGAGUGGAAAGUUCACACUGUGACGGUAACUUACCAGAAAGGGACGGCUAACUACGUG